CUAUGAAGUAACACUUACAGUAGGUCUUACUAUGAAGUAACACUUAUUUUCAAAAAGUAAGCAAGUAAAACGAGAAAAGGAAAAAAACGAACAAACAUUCAGUUAUGAAGCCUAUUUCCUUGCGAAGAAUUCUCGCCCCUUUCAUUAAUGCAGCAUUUGUUGUUCUCUUUGUUCUCCUCCUGUCUAGACGUCUACAGCCUCCUACUGGGCACGUCAGGACAACAAGACUAGAAACAUUACCACAGAUUGCUAAUCACUGACCUAGAACUACAUAAUACAAACAAAAAACAAACAACUUACCCGGAAUGCGACAUGGGCAGUAUAAGAUUGUUAAACCAAUGUCCGCUUUAUCCUGAAAGCGUUAACCUGUCAGUAGUGGAAAGAGGGGCCUUUUUAAAUUGUAUUUUCUACAAUGUAGACUAAUUUGCCAAAACAGCUUCUAACAUUAGUGCAGUGCCUCGUGACUCACUUGCUAAUUCUCUUUCAUGCUAAAUGGAAGUUGAAAAAACCAAAACGUGUAUUUUGUUAUUGGGUUCAAACCUAGACCGAAACUCACUGAGAACUUACAUUUGAAAUGAAGUUUUCUACACUCAGUUAAAAACUAACUUUUCUUCAUUUUUUUUUGUAAUCUUGAUAAUACGUGUCAUUUGUCAUCUGAGAAGUUUAGUGACGACAUUACUAAAUUUCCUUUGAAUUUAAUACAUUUUGAUUGAAUAAAUAUAAUAAAUUAUGUCAUAAUUGAAAAUGUAC